CGGCGAACGGGUGAGUAACACGUGGGUGACCUGCCCUCCACUCUGGGAUAAGCCUUGGAAACGAGGUCUAAUACCGGAUAUGACCUCCUACUGCAUGGUGGGUGGUGGAAAGCGUUUAGUGGUGGGGGAUGGACCCGCGGCCUAUCAGCUUGUUGGUGGGGUAAUGGCCUACCAAGGCGACGACGGGUAGCCGGCCUGAGAGGGCGACCGGCCACACUGGGACUGAGACACGGCCCAG
rnacentral:rRNA from 1 species